UACGGAGGGUGCGAGCGUUGUCCGGAAUCACUGGGCGUAAAGGGCGCGUAGGCGGCCUGCUAAGUCGAACGUGAAAAUCCCUGGGCUCAACCCAGGAACUGCGUCCGAUACUGGAUGGCUUGAAUCCGGGAGAGGGAUGCAGAAUUCCAGGUGUAGCGGUGAAAUGCGUAGAUAUCUGGAGGAAUACCGGUGGCGAAGGCGGCUACCUGGACCGGUUCUGGACGCUGAAUGCGCGAAAGCGUGGGUAGCAAACAGG
rnacentral:rRNA from 1 species